CCCGCUCAAUCCAUUAAAACCGAACCGAACCGUGUGAUUCGGGUUGAACGGGUCGGGUCGAACGGAUGGAACGGGUCCAGGUGGCAACAUAUAUGGGUUGAGAUAUUAAAUAGGGUCGGUUUGUGGGUGAUGGAAUACGACCCAUCGGUUAUCCGAACCGAACCGAAGUUAUUAUUAUUUAUUAUUAUUAUUAUUAUUUUGCUAUUUAGGAAUCAUACUAUAAAUAUCAAAGGUAACUCUUGAACCCUAGAUCUGCUUUUCUCUCUCUCUCGGCGGCUGCUCUCUGUUUCUUCUCAGUUUAAGAUUGAAAGAUUACUUGAUUUGCUAGAUUUUGGACCUUUGAUUUUUAUGAUUAGUUAAGGGUUUUCUGUUUUGGUACUGGGAUCCUAGAUGUUCUCUUCCUCUGCUCUCUGUUUUGGUCUUCUCUUUCAUCAUGUCUUGUUCUUUUAGUGAUGUUCCACUGAUGUCUUCAAUAGAUGCUUGUUUGGUUGGUAGUACUCUUAAAUUUAUGACUAUUUAAGUUUGAUUAGUAUCUAUAGUAAUCUAGAGGUUUUUUUUGUUCUUAUUUAUGCUAUUAUAUAAGUGUGUGUGUGGUAGAGUGAAAUUGUUAAUCUAUAUGCAUACGUAUAUGUUAACUUUGUAGAAACCUACUAUCCUUAUUACAAUUUAAACUUUUCAUUCUACUUAUGAUCCUUAGGUAGUGACUUGAUUUUAACUCCUAAAUAACAAAACAACAAUGAUGCACACACAGUGUUGUUAAACAGCACCUACAGCAGCACUAUACCUCUAUCUAUAACAUUGUGGGAUUUGGACAAGCCGUUAUUGUUCUACAAUAUGCUAAUUAUGUGAUCCAAUGGAGGAUUUAUUCAGUUUAUACCUAAUUAAUACUCUAAUGCCUCCAAACUCUGGAAUUAUGUGGUUCAAUGGAGGAUUUAUAUUCAGUUUAUGUUAUUUAGAUUAUGUUCAGUUUAUGAAUGAUAAAAGAAUGCAAAGAACAA